CCCUUAGAUGUUCUGGGCCGCACGCGUGCUACACUGAACGGUUCAAUGGGUAAGGUAGUGCGAAAGCAUGACCUAAUCUCGAAAUCCGUUCGUGCUGGGGAUAGAAGCUUGCAAUUAUCCUUCUUGAACGAGGAAUACCUUGUAAGCGUGAGUCAUCAUCUCACGCUGAAUACGUCCCUGCCCUUUGUACACACCGCCCGUCGCUCCUACCGAUUGAGUGUUCCGGUUAGGCUUUGGGAGAAUGGCCUCAACAUGAGUUUAUCGUGUUUUGCCGUUUGAACUUAGUCAAACCUUAUCACUUAGAGGAAGGAGAAGUCGUAACA
rnacentral:rRNA from 1 species